CAGAACAGCUUUCAACAUUAAAACAAAAGAACACUUAUUGACAAUUCCAAGGAGAUUGUCAAUUUUGGGGGCAAGUUAUCAAGAAUAAUGGUCAAAGAAAUGACAGCAUGACCCUCACGUGAUAGUAAAACGAUCACGAUCUCGUUGGAAUUGACUUCUCCCCCCACCUCUGAGACAGAGAACAGACUGAAAUUCCUUACAGACAUGUUUCAUACAUCCACAGAACAUGUCCUUAUGUUCACAGAAUGGCACAGAAACUGCCUUUCCAUGCACCUAAAUGACACUAAAAGGACUCGAGCAACUAAUCAUUGCUAUAUAUAUAACCCCAUAUCAUGUAUGUAACCCACAUGUGACUUAUCAGGUCUUAAUCAUUUAUUGUGAAUGUAUUUCGAAUAACUAUUGAAUAGUUUAUAGGAUCACAUUCAUGUUUAGUAUGCGUGUGUUUGCAUCUUCAUGCUUGAAACGUUUAUUCUAAUCACUUCUUUGUCAAAUGUAUCAUAUUCUUGUUAUAGAAAUCAUGUCCAAAUGUAUACUCUGCCAGAGCGGGAAAACGCGGACUGAUAAGAGAACAUUUGAUUUAUGAAUGGGGAGGAGGAAUAUACAACACCCCGAGCAACGACGACAUCUAAUUGGUCAAAACACCAUUUGGGAGGUGUUAAACAGCCCGGUUUAAAUACUCAGCACACCAUCAAACUUUGCUUUUUGUGUCUAGCUUUUAGCUUUUCGCUUUUAGUCAUGCUUUUUAGUGUCUAGCUGUUA